rnacentral:rRNA from 1 species
UACAGAGGGUGCGAGCGUUAAUCGGAAUUACUGGGCGUAAAGCGUGCGUAGACGGUUAUUUAAGUCGGAUGUGAAAGCCCCGGGCUCAACCUGGGAAUUGCAUUCGAGACUGAAUAGCUAGGGUGCGGUAGAGGGAAGCGGAAUUUCCGGUGUAGCGGUGAAAUGCGUAGAUAUCGGAAGGAACAUCAGUGGCGGAAGCGGCUUCCUGGACCAGCACCGACGUUCAGGCACGAAAGCGUGGGGAGCAAACAGG